rnacentral:rRNA from 1 species
CCUACGGGAGGCAGCAGUCGGGAAUUUUGGGCAAUGGGGGAAACCCUGACCCAGCAACGCCGCGUGAAGGAUGAAGUAUUUCGGUAUGUAAACUUCGAAAGAAUAGGAAGAAUUAAUGACGGUACUAUUUAUAAGGUCCGGCUAACUACGUGCCAGCAGCCGCGGUAAUACGUAGGGACCAAGCGUUGUUCGGAUUUACUGGGCGUAAAGGGCGCGUAGGCGGCAUGGUAAGUCACUUGUGAAAUCUCCGAGCUUAACUCGGAACGGCCAAGUGAUACUGCUGAGCUAGAGUGCAGAAGGGGCAAUCGGAAUUCUUGGUGUAGCGGUGAAAUGCGUAGAUAUCAAGAGGAACACCUGAGGUGAAGACGGGUUGCUGGGCUGACACUGACGCUGAGGCGCGAAAGCUAGGGGAGCAAACGGGAUUAGAUACCCCGGUAGUCCUAGCCCUAAACGAUGAAUACUUGGUGUCUGGAGGUUUAAUACUCCGGGUGCCGUCGCUAACGUUUUUAGUAUUUCCGCCUGGGGGACGUACGCUACGCAAGUAUGAAACUCAAAGGAAUUGA